AUUGAACGCUGGCGGCAUGCCUUACACAUGCAAGUCGAACGGCAGCACGGGAGCAAUCCUGGUGGCGAGUGGCGAACGGGUGAGUAGUACAUCGGAACGUGCCUAGUAGUGGGGGAUAGCCCGGCGAAAGCCGGAUUAAUACCGCAUACGACCUGAGGGUGAAAGCGGGGGAUCGCAAGACCUCGCGCUAGCAGAGCGGCCGAUGCCAGAUUAGGUAGUUGGUGGGGUAAAAGCCUACCAAGCCGACGAUCUGUAGCUGGUCUGAGAGGACGACCAGCCACACUGGGACUGAGACACGGCCCAGACUCCUACGGGAGGCAGCAGGGGGGAAUUUUGGACAAUGGGCGCAAGCCUGAUCCAGCCAUGCCGCGUGCAGGAAGAAGGCCUUCGGGUUGUAAACUGCUUUUGUCAGGGAAGAAAAGUUCUGGGCUAAUACCCCGGAGCGAUGACGGUACCUGAAGAAUAAGCACCGGCUAACUACGUGCCAGCCGCCGCCGUAA
rnacentral:rRNA from 1 species